rnacentral:rRNA from 1 species
CCUACGGGGGGCUGCAGUGAGGAAUAUUGGUCAAUGGGCGGAAGCCUGAACCAGCCAAGUAGCGUGCAGGAUGACGGCCCUACGGGUUGUAAACUGCUUUUAUACGGGAAUAACGCGCCUUACGUGUAGGGCUUUGCAUGUACCGUAUGAAUAAGGACCGGCUAAUUCCGUGCCAGCAGCCGCGGUAAUACGGAAGGUCCGGGCGUUAUCCGGAUUUAUUGGGUUUAAAGGGAGCGUAGGCCGCAUGUCAAGCGUGCUGUGAAAUGUCCGGGCUCAACCCGGGCCUUGCAGCGCGAACUGGAGUGCUUGAGUCGGCGGAAACCAGGCGGAAUGCGUGGUGUAGCGGUGAAAUGCUUAGAUAUGACGAAGAACCCCGAUUGCGAAGGCAGCUUGCUGCAGCGGAACUGACGCUGAUGCGCGAAAGCGCGGGGAUCGAACAGGAUUAGAUACCCCAGUAGUC